GUGCGUGCACAAAAAAAAAAAAAGAAAGAAAAGAAAAAAGAAAAAAGUCAAGUUUGGUUGAUGAAGUAUCUAAUU
rnacentral:ribozyme from 12 species